GAUGAAGAACGUAGCGAAAUGCGAUAAGUAAUGUGAAUUGCAGAAUUCAGUGAAUCAUCGAAUCUUUGAACGCACCUUGCACCCUUUGGCAUUCCGAAGGGUAUGCUCGUUUGAGUGUCAUUGUACUCUCACACUUCUGAUCCUUUGGAUUGGGAGCGGUGGACUUGGGUGUUGCUGCUUUACUGUGGCUCACCUCAAAUGCAUUCGUGCAACUCUUGGUUGGACAUAGUACGGCGUGAUAAGUAUCUUCGCCGGCACCUCGCAAGAGGGUGGCUGAUCAGGAGCUCUGUGCUUUCCAACUGUCUUCAUACAACAACUGACAACUUGACCUCAAAUCGAGUAGGACCACCCGCUGAACUUAAGCAUAUCAAUAAGCGGAGGA
rnacentral:misc_RNA from 1 species